AAGGCCUUCGGGUUGUAAAGCUCUGUCGGAGGGGACGAAAAUACUUCGGGUGAAUAGCCCGAGGAGUUGACGGUACCCUCAAAGGAAGCACCGGCUAACUUCGUGC
rnacentral:rRNA from 1 species